GCGGCGGACCGGGGAGACGGCUGCUUCCGGCGUCAGCGGCGCUGCCGCUGCCUCCGCGUUAUGGCUGCGUUGGGUUGGCAGGUCUCGGCUUGGCACCGCCUGAUGCCCCUCACCUGGUCCCUUACUGCUGGGCGGAGCGCUCAGCUCGGAGAGCAGAGGAGGACGACUGCUCUUCUGCUGCGUAAACUGACAACGGUCUCCAGCGGGGGCGGCCUCGGGGAGCCACCCUUUGUUGAACCCCAGAAGUGCGCGCAAGAACCAGAGCACAGGACGGGGCUGACUCAGUGCCUCCUUGAGAAGCAGAGGACGGCUGUGGAGCGAGGGAAGAUCGUCAGUUCCCUCCUGGACAUGGGUUUCAGUGACGUCCAUGUUAACGAACUGCUCAGUAUACAGCCAGGUACCCACCCCCAGCAGUUGCUGGACAUCAUUUCAGAAUUAAUACUCCUGGGUCUGAAUCCAGAGCCUGUGUGUGUGGCCUUCAAGAGAAGUCCUCAGUUACUGAAACUGCCUAUCAUGCAAAUGAAGAAGCGCUCCAGUUACCUGCGAAAGCUGGGGCUUGGAGAAGGGAAAUUAAAGAGGGUGCUUUACUGUUGCCCUGAAAUUUUCACCAUGCGUCAGCGGGACAUUGAGAUCAUCGUCGGGGUUCUCAAGGAGAAGUGCCUUUUCACGGUAAAGCAAGUCACCGAGAUUUUGCACAGAUGCCCCUGUGUUCUUCGGGAGGACCCUGGUGAACUGGAAUACAAAUUCCAGCCAUCAUGCAGGUGUCGGGAUCAUAGUGUUCUGCCGUCGCUAGUGAGGCAGGUCUCUCCGAGUGCUUUUGGACAGUUCAGUUCACUGUGCCUUAGGAGCCUACAAAGCUUUCUGCAGCUGCGCUUCCUAACCACGCUCUGUCUCCAGUAUGCCUACUUCAGGAUGGGGAUUAACCAUGUGGACGUGGUGAAGACCGACUUCCUGCAGUACUCCAUGACCAAGACCAAGGAGAGGCACAUGUUCCUGGAGCGCCUGGGCCGGUACCAGACCCCUGACAAGAAGGGGCAGACGCUGGUCCCCAACCCUUUACUCAAGGACAUCCUCAGGGUGUCAGAAGCUGAGUUUCUGGCCAAGACAGCCUGUUCUUCAGCUGAGGAGUUUGAGGUUUUUAAGAAACUCUUGGCCCGGGAGGAGGAGGAGUCUGAGGGCCGUAUGGCUGACGUCGAAAGUCUGGAGGAGGAGGAGGAGGAGGAGGAGCCGGAGGAAGGGGAGGAGCGGGAGCCGUGAUGGACGGACUGGAGUGAAAAGAGCCCAGCGAGAUCAAAGGGUAUUUUAAUUUUCUCAGAGCUUUUGGGAACUUCACUUGGAUCUUCUCAGGUUAUUUUUCAUUCUCAAACUGGUCGUUUGAUGAAAAAUUAAUUGGAAAUCACCUGAGAAGUAGACUAAGAAGCAGAUGCAUUGGUUUGAUCUGCUGUCAGGUCCUGGGGGGAGGGCCCUGCUCCGUCCUGAAUAAAAGGCCGACUUUGCGCCUCUAAGGUCGGGGGGCUCAACCCCGCGACAUUUGGUCUUACUUUUUCGCUCCCAUCUGUGUUGGUGACAGUCCCGUGACAGUGGGGGAUGUUUCUUCUGGUUCAGGAGUCAUUUUACAUCCUUCUCGUGACAAAGACAGAGUUCCGAGAAGACAGUGAGCUUUUACUAUAUCACAGCACUUUAUUUUAUGAAAACAAGGAGCAGGUUUUCCACAAAAAUACUCAGGUUUUUAGUUCAAAAAUAUCUUAUUGUUUCGUAAUUGCAGUCAUUGUACAGCAGAGUAAAAGGAGGUUGAUUAGUGAUGUAUGGUUUUGCUCUGCACAGCUUCUUACCGCCAGCCCCGCGUGGGGGCACUUUUUGCCUCUUUGAGAAGAGCGGGCCCUGACCCUGACCGCUGGCCCUGACCCUGACCGCUGGCGGAGUUUGCCUUCACACCAGCUCAGGCCCAGGGGCUUGCGUCCAGGCCUGACGUCUUUGGCGUCCGUGGAGUUCUGACCUGGAGCCAGGGCCGCAGGUCUGGGCUUGGUUUCAUUUCAGGGAGCUCUCCGUGACACCAGAGGUGGUGGAAGGCCCCUUGGGGAGGCCAGUGGGUCUGAGGAGCGACCUGAAGAGUUGGGGUUGGGGAGUGGACUUGGAUGUAAGCCAGGGGUCAUCUCUGAGGUAGAGGUACAGCCCUGAUGGCGUGAGCUCUGUGAGGGGUGGGGAGAUGGGUGAUUCCUGGAAGGUCCUGGAGAUUCCUUUCUUGGGGGGAGCUGGCACAGGAUUGAUGCUGCAGAAGACAUUUUUGGUGAUGUGCCCAAAACUCAGGUCUUCACAGCAUUUUAACAGCUGCACGUGAGACUCCCGGUGCUUGGCCUCGUUUUUCUCGCAGAGACCACGUAAGUCCUGUCAGCGGUUCUCACCUGGGGGUGAUCUUGACACCAGGGAACACCUAGCAACAUCUGGGGACAUUUCCCAUCGGGUUGUUAGGACCAGGAGGGUGUGCAGUUGGGGUCUAGUGGGGUCUAGUGGGUCGAGGCCCGGGCAGCUGCUAAACAUCCUGCAGUCACAGCACAGGCCCACGACAGGGUGAGCCAGCCCGAAGAUCAGCAGUGCCAAGGCUCGGACGCGGCUCUAAGGCCUCAUUUAGCGAAAUGCGACUGUGCUGAUUCGUGAGGACUUGAGAUUUUAAAUGGGCUCACAUUUGUUUCUCUUUUAUUUAGAAGUAAAGUACAUAGCUGAUUUUUUAAGAGAGUUCCUUUCUCCUCUGUACUGGGAUGCUGUUGGUAGAUUUGAGCUGUGUUUUACUGUGGGUAGAUUGGAGCUGCAUUUACUGAGGUGUAGAUGCUUUUGCUUUCUCCAGGCUCAUAUUCGAGCAUGACUGCAAAGAGAAAGACAUUUUUUUGCAGAAGAACAGUAGCUCAUUGAGUCCCUCCACACGUGAGUCCGACAUCGGUGGCAGUCGUUGGGCAGUGGCAGGAGUUCCAGCCCAGGGAAGGUGCUGGAGGUGGGCUGACACCGGGUGGAGCCCUUGCCUGUUGGGGUGGCUGGUGGGUGAGCCGCAGGGUGCCACGGAGCGUUCCUCAUUUGCACCGUGUCGGUCCCCGUGCAGCGGAAGCGGGAGGUUUUGUCUUCACUGUCUUUCUUGGCCGUGGGCAGAGUUACUUGGAAGUACAGAGACUGCACUUCCCGUUUCCUCGUGUGUUCCGUGGUCUCCGGGUGGCGGCACCGUCCCGGGCACCUAGGCUGCUGCUCUUGUGCUCCCCAGGCGGGACUAACAGGAUCUUAGAUCUAAGCUCGGUGACGUGCUUAGUUGAUCCAAGCUUUGAUUAGCACAAGGCUGACUCGGCAACUCGGGAUUGCUCCUUUCAUUUCGACACAGAAAUGUGUAUGCCCCUGACAAGUUUUUGAUUCCACUUCUGCUAAUUUUUUGGGGUGGACCUUGAGUAUCUCCAAGGAAGACGUUAGAGUUUUAAGAAGGAGCCGUGUGGAAAAAAGCAGUGGCUCAUUUGUAAUGUUUCAAGGAUGAAUUAUAAUUCCUUUAGCAUCAGGAAGUCUUUUACUAGAUGUUUAACUUAUAAAACAUCAAAAUGGGUUAAUCAUAAGAAAACGCAGCACCAAGCUCAGGAGGCAGCAGACUGUUCCUUGUAGAAACAAGGGCUUCUAAGCUGAAGACUGGAACGCGUUACAUUUGCCUCGUGGCUGAGGGGCUUGAGGUCAUUGACGUGGCGGUAGAGGGGUUCGUCUUCUUUCCAGUGAUAUCACUUGAUCUUGCUGUUUGCUCGUGACGCCGUAGCUUACACAGUUGCACAGUGACAGGUCCCAGUGCCACAGCAGAGUCAGCAGGACGUGUUUAUGUAUGUGGCUCUCUCGACUCUCCCAGUGUCAGAGCCCCUGCACUGCACUCAGCCGUCUUCUCCAGGUGGGCCUUGGAGACUGGGGACCUUCUGGAGCACCGUAGAGACUUCUCGAAAUGACUCUUCCUCCUUGCUGAAAAUGACAGAAUGCAUAAUACACAGACAUAUGCACACAAAACUUUAAUAAAAAUAAAAAGCCUAAAAUAUAACUCUGUAAAAAAAAUUUUUUUUAUGGAAGACGAAAGGAAGAGCCCCUUUCUGUGGCUGUGAUGCUGACUGGGGGCAGAGUCGGUGGGAGACGCACGGCGGCUUGAGUUCCGUCUGGCUCAGCUGCUCAGAUGUUCAGCACACCGGACGUGGGGUUGGCUUGUCUGGUUUUCACCUCAUUUGCAGGGAGAAGCGAGCACUGCUUAGAAGCGUGCUAGAGAGCAGGGGUGGCAGGAUGACGCGGCGAUCUGUGUGUGAAGGAGGAGCGUGUGGAACACGGUGCUUACUACCUGAUAGCCCCACACGGCGUUACUUGAGUCCUGGACUAAGAGAAACCUUCACCAGCAUCGCAUUUAGGCUUGUGGGACGAGCCCUCGCUGUACUUGGUAGAGGUGCUGCCUUGGCUUUCCAAGUGGGGUUUGAAACCCUUGAGGUUUCCGUGAAACCCUUGAGGUCUUUGGUGCCUUGGUGGGACUUGUCAUCCAGGGGAUAGGCCAAAGCCUAUGACCUCAAAGACCAGGGGUUAACCCAGCGUGGCGCAUGGGCCAACUCGGCCCUGCCUGUUUUUGUAAAUAAAGUUUUAUUGGAACCCAGCCACGCCUGGUGAGUCACACGUCUGUUGGCUGCAUUUGUGCUACAGCUGCAGAGCUGAGUCACUGCCACAGAGACCAUAGGGUCCUCAAAGCCAGAAGUACUGUCUGACCUUUACAGAAAAGGUUGCAGGUAAAAAGUGUCUAAACUCCGUCUUAGUGUUACCGUUUUCUCCCUCAAAGUCAGCUGGUCCAUAUGAUGGAGCACUAGCCUGCGAACGAUCAGCAUAAAUAAUCUGCUGGCGGAGGAGAGCCGGGCGAAGCGCUUCCAGCGUGGCCUCAUCGCUGCCCCUUCCUCCCAGCCCCACCGUCUCUGCUUUGGAAGCUGUUGAUAGCAGUUCCUCCUCAAUUUUGUUGCUAGGUCUCAAAGGGAGAAUUCUUUCUCUGACCUCGGAAUCUGAGAACUGGUUUCUGAAGGUUGCAGAAGCAUUCCUGGCGGACAGCCUUGCCAUCCAGGGCUAACGUGUGCGCCGUGGGUGCGCAUUCACCGUGGCGCAGACCGCCCCCUCGGAGACCGCAGCCUGGGGGGACGCCGGUUUGAUCCCUGGUCGGGGAACUAAGAUCCCGCAUGCCGCAGGGCGACUAAGCCGGCGCGCUGCAACUACUGAGCCCACGCGCUCUGGAGCCCGCGCGCCACGACUGGCGAGCCCACGUGCCGCCAGUAAUGAAUGAGCCCAUGCACCACAACUAGAAGAAAGCCUAUGCACUGCAGUGAAGAGCCUGCACGCCGCAACGAAAGACCCCGAGUGCCCCAACUAAGACCCAACGCAGCCAAUAAAUAAAUAAAUAAAUAAAUAUUUUUUAAAAAA